UUGACCUCGGAUCAGGUAGGAAGACCCGCUGAACUUAAGCAUAUCAAUAAG
rnacentral:rRNA from 1 species